CUCUCUCUCCACCCCGUCUUUGUUACACAGUGCAAAAACAGAGGCACUCUCUCAGAGCGGUGCUAGUUGUUAGCUAGUAGGCUAGCUGCUUGCCCGCUUCCCCUGCGGCCUGGCUGGAGAUGCGUGGAAGAUGUCCGUGUCGGGGCUCAAGGCUGAGUUAAAGUUCUUGGAGUCAAUUUUUGACCCGAAUCACGAGCGUUUCAGGAUUAUCGACUGGAAACCCGACGAGCUUAGCUGUCAGUUUAAUGUGACUGGUGAAAAACUACUGAUCAUCCAUUGCAAUAUUACGGAGGCUUACCCUUCAACUCCCCCUUUAUGGUUUGUGGAAUCAGAUGAUCCAAGUCUGACCGAGGUGUUUGAGCGCCUGGAGGAUGUUCGGAAAGGCAGUACCUUGCUCCUUCAGCAGUUGAAAAGACUUAUCUGUGAUCUUUGUCGACUGUAUAACCUGCCCCAGCAUCCUGACGUGGAGAUGCUGGACCAGCCUCUUCCUGCUGCACCGAUCAGUCAUGAGAGAAAGCAGCAUGUAACGACAGAUGAAGUAACAUCUGAUGAAGAGGAGGAGGAAGAAAUGACUGAGCAGGACAUUGAAGAUCUCGACCACUAUGAGAUGAAAGAGGAGGAACCUGUAGAUGGAAAGAAGUCCGAAGAUGAUGGGAUAGAAAAGGAGAACCUUGCUAUACUAGAAAAAAUCCGCAAGAACCAAAGGCAGGACCACUUGAAUGGUGCGGUGUCUGGUUCUGUUCAGGCCUCAGACCGUCUUAUGAAGGAACUCAGGGAGAUCUAUAGGUCACAGAGUUACAAGACAGGUAUCUAUUCAGUGGAGCUAGUCAGUGACAGUCUUUAUGAAUGGCAUGUCAAGUUGAGGACGGUAGAUCCAGAUAGUCCGUUACAUAGUGACUUGCAGGUCUUGAAAGAAAAAGAAGGGGUCGACUAUAUUCUGCUCAACUUUUCUUAUAAAGAUAACUUUCCUUUUGAUCCUCCCUUUGUACGAGUAGUGUCUCCUGUGCUCUCUGGAGGUUAUGUUCUUGGAGGAGGGGCCUUGUGUAUGGAACUACUAACAAAACAGGGCUGGAGUAGUGCCUAUUCCAUAGAGUCUGUCAUUAUGCAAAUCAAUGCCACCCUAGUCAAAGGGAAAGCUAGAGUACAGUUUGGAGCUAAUAAGAACCAGUAUAAUCUUGCCAGAGCACAACAGUCAUACAAGUCUUUGGUCCAGAUCCAUGAAAAGAAUGGCUGGUACACACCUCCGAAAGAAGAUGGCUAAGAUGAUGAUGUAACUUCUUGAACACUGGGAAUAUGGGAUUUGUGAUCAACUAUUUGCAUUUUAAUUGUUCUAAAAUCCCUCUAAAAUUCUUCUGUUCAGAUGGAGUGUGAGGUCCCACUGGUCUGUUCUCCUUAUUUCACUCUGUCUUCUGUCUGUCCCCUUUUCUUGUUGUCACUCAUGUCUGCUCUCAUCUCAUGUUUUCUUCAAUUUGCUACUGGGAAAGAAGGGAUGUGUGUGAGGCACACAGCUUCAGUACUAAUGCGUGUCUUACACAGAGCAAUUUUAGAGACCACGAGAUUCUUGUCUUGUCUGGAGUGACGCAUGGCUUUGUUGGAUUAACACCCGAAUGGAAUAACGUGUGUGAAGUUUCUGGAUUUUAUUUUCAUGCUGUUCUUUUAAUGCAAGUUAUUAUGGCUAUCAUAUCCUAUGGUUUAUUGAAGUUCAGACAGAAAUGGAUGCAAUAAGAGACUAUAUGAAGCUUUGCCACCCCUCUUAUACAUGUUGACACUGUUCUUUUGUGUUCUGUGUUAACAUGUGCUGGUACAUUUAAUGCUGAUGUUUUUUUUCUUUAAUCAUUUUCUCCAAUGAUAAGUGAGAUAAAGGUAAGGUAUGGGACGUAUUCCAGUUCUCCACUUGUUAACUGUGGAUACCACUCUGUGUCCUGUUUCCUGCUCUUAACCUGUGGUUAAUCUGAGCAGUAUUUCUCAAAAACAGGCCUUAGAACAGGCAAAUAAGAAAAUUUCAUUUUCUGUAGUUGGAUGGAAACCUGUGUGUUUACUUGUAAAUGGAUAUGUGGUGCAAGUUAUUUUUAAUGUGCUGUUGAAGUUAAGUCUUGGGCUCUGCCACAAUAUCCAAUCAAGACCUUGAUCAUAAUAUUUAAUUGGAUGUCUUGAGGAUAUGGAAAAUGAAGAGCACCUAAACUUGGGCUUAUUCAGGGGCUUUAAAGCAUUCAUCUUCUGAUUCUGAAGGUGUCAAUUUAUCAUUCCUUUAUCUGUUUUUAAAGGUCAUUCUUCAUUUACUGCCGAUACGAAUUCACCAGUUCAAGUUUAUGGGACCUCAAGAACUAGCAACCAGUGUCGUUUUGACUGAGGUAUAAAACUUUCAACUGAAAAUCUACUUUGCUGGACAAAAUUAGAAGUGGCUGGCUAAUUAUUGUUGUUAUUAAUUAAGCUACAUUGCAUCAAGCCAAAGAUUCACGAAUAAAAAAACACUGUAUUAAUACCGCAGUAGGUUUUCCAUUUUGGGGACUGAUUGACUCAGAACUAAUGUUUUUGAUAUAAACUUAAUAUUUGCUUUCCCCACAUUAUAUACCCAUUUUAGCUGCAUGUCAUAUUAUUAUACACUUCAGGAUUAUCUCUGAAUGACGAGACGUGGAGUUUAGAUAUUUACUGAUAUAUACAAUACUUUUACAAAAGUCGGAGGCAUCCUUUUAUAAUACAAAAUUGCUGUUUUAUGUGUAAAAACAGAAGGAAGUGUGACAGGAGUGUCCAGAAGAACCACAGCAGAUUCUCCAAGAUGCUCAGUAAAACUUGCCAGCCAAUUUCCUUAUAAAACUGCACAAAAUACGGUUGCAGACAGAAGUUUACAUACAUGGAUGUCAUGUCAUCAUGGACAUGAAAGUCAUGGCGAUACUGGGCUUUAAAUUUUUAUAGCUUUUUAAACUGGUCUUUUUCUGUGGUAGAAUGUACAACAUACUUCUUUAAAAGAAAAAACAAACUAGAAUUUGCUUCACAAGAUUUAAUUUAUUUGGGGUUUUCUGAAAUCAACAUGGGGUACGGUGGCCAGGAAGUGCAAAACAAAAUUACAAAAUCUAAAACAUUUUACAUUUUAUAAAACAAAAUUAUAUCAGCAAAAACACUUUAUUUUAAAUACCAAAGACAAAACAAAUUUACAACUCAGAAAACAAACUGACAAGAUGCAAAACUGAACCUAUUUUCCCUAAGCUGAGGGAGGGUAACAGUUUCGGUCUUCUUCUGAAAAAGUGGCUACACCUCCCAAUAACUUGUACUGAUGUACAGUUGUUUGAACUUAUGAUCUUGGAAUCUGCAGUUGUUUAGAAAUGGCUGUAAGAGACAUUCCUGAGUUGUGUAAAUCUGUGAUCCUCUUUCCCAGAUCUUCACUGAACUCCUUGACUUUUCAAUUGUACUAGGUGUUGGUCAAGCCAGUGAGUGCUGUUCAGCAAAUCCUUUAUAUGUUGGCACAGAGACGCUAAUAGCUGUAGUCAAUCAUGAUCACUAACAGGAAUUUAAGAGGCCUUGGCAAGUUAAAAGACAUUUUGGAACUUUCAGAACCACUGAAUUAGUAAUUUCAUGUAUGUACAAUUUUGACCCUGUGUUGAUACCAGAAAGCCCAAAAUAAAUUAAAACUUUUGCACCAAAUUCUUUCAACGGGAAAAUCCUUGAAAAAAUUGUCUUCAAUCAAUUAACUGCCUUCUUGAUAUCAAACAGCUGCUUUGAUAACUUUCAGUCAGGAUUUUGUGCCAAUCACAGCACUGAAACAGCGCUGAUUAAAGUUAUAAAUGACAUAGGUCUUAAAACUGAUGCAGGCAAAACAUCGGUCCUGGUUUUACUGGACCUCAGUGCAGCUUUUGAUACUGCUGAUCACAACAUACUGCUAUAUCAACUUGAACACUGGGUUGGGUUGACUGGUAAAGUUAUCAAUUGGUUAAAAUCGUACUUAAAAGAUAGAAGCUUCUUUGUUACCAUGGGAAAUUGUACCUCAACAUCAAUGUCCUUGACCUGUGGUGUCCCCCAGGGGUCGAUCCUUGGACCAUUACAAUUCAACCUUUAUAUGCUCCCACUUGAACAAAUUAUCAAGAACAACUCAAUUUUGUAUCACUGCUAUGCAGAUGACACCCAAAUUUACUUUGCUCUAUCACCUAAUGAUUAUGCCCCCCUUGAAUGUCUCUACCAGUGUAUCGACCAAAUCAACAACUGGAUGUCACAACAUUUUCUUCAGCUGAACACAGAUAAAACAGAAGUAAUUCUAUUUGGGAAAAAAAAUGAAAGACUCAGGAUUACCACUAUUCUUGACACAAAGGGGAUUAAAACAAAAGAUAUGGUUAAAAAUCUUUUCAUUGACAGCGAGCUAAACUUUGACAGUCAUAUGAAAGCAAUCACUAAAUCGGCAUUUUAUCACCUAAAAAACAUUUCCAAACUAAGAGGACUUAUGUCAAAAAAUGAUCUGGAAAAACUUAUACAUGCCUUCAUCUCUAGUAGGGUUGACUACUGUAAUGGCCGUUUCACAGGCCUGCCAAAAAAAACCAUCAAACAACUUCAGCUGAUUCAAAAUGCAGCUUUCAAAACUUUCAGAACCACUGAAUUAGUAAUUUCAUGUAUGAAUAAUUUUGACCCUGUGUUGAUACCAGAAAGCCCAAAAUAAAUUAAAA